UGGUGGGUAGUUUGACUGGGGCGGUCUCCUCCUAAAGAGUAACGGAGGAGCACGAAGGUUGGCUAAUCCUGGUCGGACAUCAGGAGGUUAGUGCAAUGGCAUAAGCCAGCUUGACUGCGAGCGUGACGGCGCGAGCAGGUGCGAAAGCAGGUCAUAGUGAUCCGGUGGUUCUGAAUGGAAGGGCCAUCGCUCAACGGAUAAAAGGUACUCCGGGGAUAACAGGCUGAUACCGCCCAAGAGUUCAUAUCGACGGCGGUGUUUGGCACCUCGAUGUCGGCUCAUCACAUCCUGGGGCUGAAGUAGGUCCCAAGGGUAUGGCUGUUCGCCAUUUAAAGUGGUACGCGAGCUGGGUUUAGAACGUCGUGAGACAGUUCGGUCCCUAUCUGCCGUGGGCGCUGGAGAACUGAGGGGGGCUGCUCCUAGUACGAGAGGACCGGAGUGGACGCAUCACUGGUGUUCGGGUUGUCAUGCCAAUGGCACUGCCCGGUAGCUAAAUGCGG
rnacentral:rRNA from 4 species